CCUCUGGUUUACUGCAUCAAAAGGACGAAGAAAGAAAGACUUUUGACUACAUAAUUUUAGGCAGCAUUUCGGGUAUCAAGACAAAGUAUCAGGAUGGAGAAGAUGCAGGGAUCUGUGCUAGUUAUAUUUUGGCUUCAUCUUGGCUGGGUGAAAGGAGGAAACCAGGUGGAGCAGAGUCCUCCUUCCUUGAGACCCUGGGAAGGAGACGGCACCUCUAUGAGCUGCACUUAUUCAGUCAGUGGUUUUAACGGUCUGCAGUGGUACAGAGAGGAUGCAGGGAUAGGUCUCAGACACCUCUUCUCCAUGUAUUCAGCUGGGGAUGUGAAGCAGAAGGGAAGACUCCAAGCCACGUUGUUGAAGGAUGGAAGCAGCUUGAACAUCACAGCCGUGCGGCAUGGAGACUCAGCCACCUAUUUCUGUGCUGUAGUCACACAGUGCAACCCAGGCACCUGCGACCUGCACCCAAAUCUACAGCUGAGCAGGCGCAGCUUGACAGAACCCUCUGCAGCAGGGCUCGAGCCUAGGUCCUUGUAUGGAGUUAAAGGCUGACACCUGCAGAGCAGGGAGAAGACCCCAGCAGCCAGGGAGGUCAGGAGACAAGUGCUGAUGCUCAUUUGAGCCACAUUUUUCAUCUGGCCACCCUUCACGUUCUCCUGGGGCCUCUUCUGAAUACAUCAAUCCCAGUGUUCCUUCUCUCCUACCAGAUCCAUCAGAGCCCCUGGUCAUUCUUUGGAUAUGGAGAGCAUGUCUUCUUUUGGGUCUGGUGGGAACAGAAAAACUUAGGACUGCACUUCCACUUCUAGAAAUCUGACAAAAGAACUGUAGAUAGGAGCACAAAUCUGGAUAGGUUAUGUAUACCAAAAGGCAAGCAUUGUGGCUUUCAGUAUGUAAAAUGUUCUAUC